rnacentral:tRNA from 1 species
GCGGCGCUAGCUCAACUGGCAGAGCAGCUGACUCUUAAUCAGCGGGUUCGGGGUUCGAGUCCCUGGCGCCGCACAA